UACGUAGGUGGCAAGCGUUGUCCGGAUUUACUGGGCGUAAAGAGCGCGCAGGCGGUCGUCCAAGUCGCGUGUGAAAGCCCCCGGCUUAACUGGGGAGGGUCACGCGAUACUGAUCGACUCGAAGGCAGGAGAGGGUAGUGGAAUUCCCGGUGUAGUGGUGAAAUGCGUAGAUAUCGGGAGGAACACCAGUGGCGAAGGCGACUACCUGGCCUGUUCUUGACGCUGAGGCGCGAAAGCUAGGGGAGCAAACGGG
rnacentral:rRNA from 1 species